rnacentral:rRNA from 1 species
CCUACAGGAGGCUGCAGUGAGGAAUAUUGGUCAAUGGGCGGGAGCCUGAGCCAGCCAAGUCGCGUGAGGGAAGAAGGUACUGAGUAUUGUAAACCUCUUUUGCCAGGGGACAAAGGCGGCCACGGGUGGCCGUAAGAGGGUACCUGGAGAACAAGCAUCGGCUAACUCCGUGCCAGCAGCCGCGGUAAUACGGAGGAUGCGAGCGUUAUCCGGAUUUAUUGGGUUUAAGGGGUGCGCAGGCGGCGUGUCAAGUCAGCGGUAAAAUGUCGGGGCUCAACCCCGGCCGGCCGUUGAAACUGGCGUGCUCGAGUUGGAGGGAAGUAGGCGGAAUGCGCGGUGUAGCGGUGAAAUGCAUAGAUAUCGCGCAGAACUCCGGUUGCGAAGGCAGCGUACCGGAGCCGGACUGACGCUGAGGCACGAAAGCGUGGGUAUCGAACAGGAUUAGAUACCCGGGUAGUC